rnacentral:tRNA from 1 species
GGCAGUGUAGCUCAGUGGUUAGAGCGCGUCGCUCAUACCGCAGCGGUCCUUUUUGAUCGGCUGCGCCGGAAACGACGAGGUCGCGAGUUCAAUUCUCGCCACUGCCA